AGUGAACGCUGGCGGUAGGCCUAACACAUGCAAGUCGAACGGCAGCACAGUAAGAGCUUGCUCUUACGGGUGGCGAGUGGCGGACGGGUGAGGAAUACAUCGGAAUCUACUUUUUCGUGGGGGAUAACGUAGGGAAACUUACGCUAAUACCGCAUACGACCUACGGGUGAAAGCAGGGGAUCUUCGGACCUUGCGCGAUUGAAUGAGCCGAUGUCGGAUUAGCUAGUUGGCGGGGUAAAGGCCCACCAAGGUGACGAUCCGUAGCUGGUCUGAGAGGAUGAUCAGCCACACUGGAACUGAGACACGGUCCAGACUCCUACGGGAGGCAGCAGUGGGGAAUAUUGGACAAUGGGCGCAAGCCUGAUCCAGCCAUACCGCGUGGGUGAAGAAGGCCUUCGGGUUGUAAAGCCCUUUUGUUGGGAAAGAAAAGCAGCAGGUUAAUACCCCGCUGCUCUGACGGUACCCAAAGAAUAAGCACCGGCUAACUUCGUG
rnacentral:rRNA from 1 species